rnacentral:lncRNA from 1 species
UCCAAGAAUAGCCCUGCUCAACUCUCAUUUGCUGUGUAUUUCUUGUCUACAUUGAAUCUGGACUUGGCCAGUGGGACUUUGGAGCACAUGAUGCAAACACAGCGCAGCCAGCAGGAUGCAAGCAUUGUUCAAGGGAGGGAGCACAAGACCCCAGAGCUUGGCCGCUUGGGACACAGCUGUGAGCCUCCAUUCUGCAAAGAAGCUUGGAGAGAAAGGCCUUGCAAAGAAGAGGAACAGCAUCCGCUAUGCCCGAUGCACUCAGU